CUUGAAGGGGGAAAAGCAAGGAUCUUUAUGCUUUACUCCACAGUAGUCACUCUAUUGCUUCAGAGAAUGUAGAAUUGCCAGCAGUACUUGUAGCUCCUGGUAAGGCUCAUGAGACAUCACAGAAGAUGAAAAAGAAUGAAUGAUAGAAUCUGUCAUGCAGCUUCUUAAGCGGAUUUGGUCUCUUCUGGAGAAAGGACAAAAAUCUCAUUAAUCAAGACUCAGAAGCUAAAAAAAAUCUCAUGAAAUACAUUCCAAAGACUGUAUAAGCACUAAUCGGUCACCAGGGGAGGGGACACUAUUCAGUAAGGUAUUUGUGCACAAAUACAGAGGACUCUGUGAAGAGUUUUCCUGAAACCUGCCACUCAUACAGGAGGGGAAACUAUCAGUACUGCAGCUGUCACUAUCACUCAUGCCUCUGUAAGUAUCACAUGUGCCCAUCUGGAAGUCUAAUAAAGCCUUUGACAUCAA